AGUGAGAAGGAAGGCGAGGGAGAUUUCCGCCCACUCUGCCAAGUGGGACAGCCACCUGUUUGACCCAGCUGCUUUAUUCGCCACCGAGAGCGUCUCACGCAGCCGAACGCUGCUUCCUGCAAACACGAGGCUCAGAUCCUGGAGAUCACAACACCACGAGCUUCAGAUAUUCACAUUGUUCCAUCCUCCAGGGCGACGGCUCACAUUGCAUUUAGAUGUUAGUGAAGAUGAUUAUUAGCAAACUCUGCAUUAGCCUGCAAGCUAGUGUCAACAAGCAUGAACGCUCACAUUUUUAAAGGAGUCAUAUCAUGCUUUUCAUUCUAAAAAAUAUUUGACUUUAAUGUCUCAGUAAGGUCUCUGUAAAUUUUCAUCCCAUAAAACCCUUUAGAUCGUCCACACUGCCCCUGUCAAUAUGUGGUUCUCACUCCCCAUCAGCAAACGCUGUGUUUUCUGGGCGUGUCGCAAGCGAAGCUGCUCACCACACCUCUGUGCGGAAGCGCAUACCUUUUUUGUUGUUGUUUUUUUUUUUUUAAAUUGGCUCCAUGGAUACGAGCCACCGCACGGUUAGGAUACAAUAGGUGGCAGUAGUGCGACAUUGAGAAUGCAAUCCACCACAGAAGAAGACGACCCACUACAGAACUGCACGACAUUAGUCAGCUGGUUCAUAGCGUAGUAGAACCAUACGUCUACGAUCCCGAAUCUGACCCUGAAGCUGAAGAGGAGGCUGUUGAAGUCACCACAUUUCGGCUGAUGCAAGAUGUGUCUCAUUGUUGUUACAGGUAUCUAGUCUACAGAGGCUAGUGAGCUGGUGCUGAGGAUUCCUGGGGUGAAGAAUCUGAGUUGCCAUCUCUUCAUGCUUGGGUUGUAGAUGAAGGCAGUUUCCUGAUGGAUAAAACACUAAAACACUCAUAGUAUGAUUGAUGUAGACCACCUGUAGAAUAACUCCUUUACCGUUUGAGUAAAAAUGUGUUUUUUUGUGAGUGCAACACUCAUUAAGAAUUUUUUUAACUUUAUUUAUAUAUAAUUUAUAUGCGUUUUAUUUAUGGCCGCUUCAACUUUAUAGCUUACCAUAUUAGAAAGAGAAAAACAUGUAAUUUCAAUACUAUGAUUUCCUAAAUAAAAGUGUUUUCCCUUCAGAAA